rnacentral:rRNA from 1 species
GACGAACGCUGGCGGCGUGCUUAACACAUGCAAGUCGAACGGAAAGGCCCUGCUUUUGUGGGGUGCUCGAGUGGCGAACGGGUGAGUAACACGUGAGUAACCUGCCCUUGACUUUGGGAUAACUUCAGGAAACUGGGGCUAAUACCGGAUAGGAGCUCCUGCUGCAUGGUGGGGGUUGGAAAGUUUCGGCGGUUGGGGAUGGACUCGCGGCUUAUCAGCUUGUUGGUGGGGUAGUGGCUUACCAAGGCUUUGACGGGUAGCCGGCCUGAGAGGGUGACCGGCGACAUUGGGACUGAGAUACGGCCCAGAGUCCUACGGGAGGCAGCAGUGGGGAAUAUUGCACAAUGGGCGGAAGCCUGAUGAAGCAACGCCGCGUGCGGGAUGACGGCCUUCGGGUUGUAAAACGCUUUCGCCUGUGACGAAGCGUGAGUGACGGUAAUGGGUAAAGAAGCACCGGCUAACUACGUG